CCUCUGCCUAUGAUGGUAAUUAAAUAUACUUUGAGUAUUUUACUAUGAACAAAACUUUUUAGCUGAGGCUU